AAGACUCUCCUGAGGGAUGGGAAAUACCUAUUCAAAUAACUUCUCCUCAUUAGGGAAAGGUGGGAAAUCCUAGCUUACUUCCCACAUCCCAGCUUACUUCCCUAAUCAUUGGGCUAAAGGAUGGUAAUCACAUCCGAUUACUUAAAAUAAGCUGGGUAUCAGUCUGAUCAUUAGCUGGACAAGAAAUCUCCAGGGAGAAUACAGGUUCUGCAGCAGAGAUUGUAUUCUAGCUACUUGAAUCUAAAAUCAAGGAGUGGGGGCAUAAUUACUGCAGAUCCCAGAACAAGUAUGACACUCCAGAGAAGUACCACCCCCGAGGAUUCAUUGCAUAUACUGGUUCUGACCAGGUUCAAGAAGCACAGAAGAAGAAGAAAGAGUUUUUUGGUAUAAAGAGUCAGCCUGAACUAGCCCAAUUCCCUGAUUUUUUAAACUAAAAUUGACAUGAGAUUGUGACCAAGAAGGCAAAGCCCUUCUGGAAGGGUUUGAAGGACUGGGAACUGCCAGGAUCUCUAUAUG